rnacentral:rRNA from 1 species
CCUACGUGAGGCAGCAGUGGGGGAUAUUGCACAAUGGGGGAAACCCUGAUGCAGCGACGCCGCGUGUGGGAAGACGGUCCUCUGGAUUGUAAACCACUGUCCCCAGGGACGAAGCUGACGGUACCUGGGGAGGAAGCUCCGGCUAACUACGUGCCAGCAGCCGCGGUAAUACGUAGGGAGCGAGCGUUGUCCGGAAUUACUGGGUGUAAAGGGAGCGUAGGCGGGACUGCAAGUUGGGUGUCAAAUCUACCGGCUCAACCGGUAGCCGCACUCAAAACUGCAGUUCUUGAGUGAAGUAGAGGCAGGCGGAAUUCCUAGUGUAGCGGUGAAAUGCGUAGAUAUUAGGAGGAACACCAGUGGCGAAGGCGGCCUGCUGGGCUUUUACUGACGCUGAGGCUCGAAAGUGUGGGGAGCAAACAGGAUUAGAUACCCUAGUAGUC